rnacentral:rRNA from 1 species
GAUGAACGCUGGCGGCGUGCCUAAUACAUGCAAGUCGAGCGAACAGACGAGGAGCUUGCUCCUCUGACGUUAGCGGCGGACGGGUGAGUAACACGUGGAUAACCUACCUAUAAGACUGGGAUAACUUCGGGAAACCGGAGCUAAUACCGGAUAAUAUAUUGAACCGCAUGGUUCAAUAGUGAAAGACGGUUUUGCUGUCACUUAUAGAUGGAUCCGCGCCGCAUUAGCUAGUUGGUAAGGUAACGGCUUACCAAGGCAACGAUGCGUAGCCGACCUGUGAGGGGGGUCGGCCACCCUGGAACGGGGACACGGUCCAGAGUCCUACGGGAGGCAGCAGUAGGGAAUCGGCCGCAAUGGGCGAAAGCCUGACGGAGCAACGCCGCGUGAGUGAUGAAGGUCUUCGGAUCGUAAAACUCUGUUAUGAGGGAAGAACAAAUGUGUAAGUAACUAUGCACGGCUUGACGGUACCUAGUCAGAAAGCCACGGCUAACUACGUG